AUUGAACGCUGGCGGCAGGCCUAACACAUGCAAGUCGAACGAGUGGCGGACGGGUGAGUAAUGUCGGGGAAACUGCCUGAUGUAGGGGGAUAACGACUGGAAACGUUAGCUAAUACCGCAUACCAUCAUAUGUGCCCUGAGGGGUUUAGCUAGUUGGUGGGGUAACGGCUCACCAAGGGGACGAUCCCUAGCUGGUCUGAGAGGAUGACCGGCCACACUGGGACUGAGACACGGUCCAGACUCCUACGGGAGGCAGCAGUGGGGAAUCUUCGACAAUGGGCGCAAGCCUGAUGGAGCCACGCCGCGUGUAUGAAGAAGGCCUUCGGGUUGUAAAGUACUUUCAGCGGGGAGGCGUUACCCGAAGAAGAAGCACCGGCUAACUCCGUGCCAGCAGCCGCGGUAAUUC
rnacentral:rRNA from 1 species